rnacentral:rRNA from 1 species
GAUGAACGCUGGCGGCGUGCCUAAUACAUGCCAGUCGAGCGAACAGACGAGGAGCUUGCUCCUCUGACGUUAGCGGCGGACGGGUGAGUAACACGUGGAUAACCUACCUAUAAGACUGGGAUAACUUCGGGAAACCGGAGCUAAUACCGGAUAAUAUUUUGAACCGCAUGGUUCAAUAGUGAAAGACGGUUUUGCUGUCACUUAUAGAUGGAUCCGCGCCGCAUUAGCUAGUUGGUAAGGUAACGGCUUACCAAGGCAACGAUGCGUAGCCGACCUGAGAGGGUGAUCGGCCACACUGGAACUGAGACACGGUCCAGACUCCUACGGGAGGCAGCAGUAGGGAAUCUUCCGCAAUGGGCGAAAGCCUGACGGAGCAACGCCGCGUGAGUGAUGAAGGUCUUCGGAUCGUAAAACUCUGUUAUUAGGGAAGAACAAAUGUGUAAGUAACUAUGCACGUCUUGACGGUACCUAAUCAGAAAGCCACGGCUAACUACGUG